rnacentral:rRNA from 1 species
GAUGAACGCUAGCGGCAGGCUUAACACAUGCAAGUCGAGGGGUAGAAGGAGCUUGCUCCUUUGAGACCGGCGCACGGGUGCGUAACGCGUAUGCAAUCUACCUUUUGCAGAGGAUAGCCCAGAGAAAUUUGGAUUAAUACCUCAUAGUAUGUGAGGAUGGCAUCAUUUUCACAUUAAAGUCACAACGGCAAAAGAUGAGCAUGCGUCCCAUUAGCUAGUUGGUAAGGUAACGGCUUACCAAGGCUACGAUGGGUAGGGGUCCUGAGAGGGAGAUCCCCCACACUGGUACUGAGACACGGACCAGACUCCUACGGGAGGCAGCAGUGAGGAAUAUUGGUCAAUGGGCGCAAGCCUGAACCAGCCAUGCCGCGUGCAGGAAGACGAUCCUAUGGAUUGUAAACUGCUUUUAUACAGGAAGAAACCCUCCCACGUGUGGGAGCUUGACGGUACUGUAGGAAUAAGGAUCGGCUAAC